AUCACAGAAAUGCUAAAUGAAGGCAGUAGUUCUUAAAGAAGCCCACACCUGUGUCCGUUUACUACAAAGUAUAACUUUCCAGAUGAAGAAAUUACCCACUUCUAUGGUGAUUCUUCUUGGCCAUGGCAUUCAAGGGAAUUAUGUGAAGAGUCAUCAAUGGCAAUGAUCGAAUGUGGUUCGUAACACUUUCACAUCAGGUAAGGAGAAAGAAUUGCAUGAAUAGUCAUUGGUGACUGAGAUCGAAUGCAGUGC